rnacentral:rRNA from 1 species
UACGGAGGGGGCUAGCGUUGUUCGGAAUUACUGGGCGUAAAGCGCGCGUAGGCGGACCUGCAAGUCGGGGGUGAAAGCCCGAGGCUCAACCCCGGGCCUGCAUUCGAUACGGGCAGACUAGAGUUCGGUAGGGGAGUCUGGAAUUCCUGGUGUAGCGGUGAAAUGCGCAGAUAUCAGGAGGAACACCGGUGGCGAAGGCAGGUCUCUGGGCCACUACUGACGCUGAGAAGCGAAAGCAUGGGGAGCGAACAGG